GCCCCAAAGAAGAUGAAAUCCUGGUGGCUGCUCCUAUCUCUGCUGGCAGCUCCCCACUGGGUCCUGUCCGAGGUGCAGCUGGUGGAAUUCGGCCCAGGAGUGGUGAAGCCCUCAGAGCCCCUCAGACUCUCUUGCGCCGUCUAUGGAUUUUCCAUCACCAACUAUGGUGUACACUGGAUUCGGCAGCCCAUAGGAGAAAGGCUACAGUGGAUUGGAGUUAUCUGGGGUGGUGGAAGCAGUGACUAUAAUCCGGCAUUGCAGUCUCGAGUCAGCAUCACCAGGGACACUUCCAAGAGCCAAGUAUUUUUACAACUGAACAGCGCGACACCCACAGACACGGCCAUGUAUUACUGUGCGAGAAACACAGUGCGGAGUAGUGAGUGUGAGCCCACACAAAAACCUUCCCUUGCAGGUGGUCAGGAGGAGUCUGGGCAGCAGGAGGUGCUCAGGACCCACUGA